GAUGAAGAACGUAGUGAAAUGCGAUAAGUAAUGUGAAUUGCAGAAUUCCGUGAAUCAUCGAAUCUUUGAACGCACAUUGCGCCCUCUGGUAUUCCGGGGGGCAUGCCUGUCCGAGCGUCAUUUGCAACCCUCAAGCCCGGCUUGUGUGAUGGGUGCCGUCCCCUACGGGACGCGCCCCGAAGGCAAUGGCGGCGUCGCGGUUAUCCGAUCAGCCAAAGUGUAUGGGGCUUUGUCACUCACUUUACGGCCCGGACCGGCGCCAGUCCGAAUCAAUCUUUUUUCUAAAGUUGACCUCGGAUCAGGUAGGGAUACCCGCUGAACUUAAGCAUAUCAAUAAGCGGAGGA
rnacentral:misc_RNA from 1 species